rnacentral:lncRNA from 1 species
AGUGUGUGUGUGUUUAUCCAGUGGGUCCAGUGUGUGUGUGUGUGUGUGUGUGUCCAGUGUGUUUGUGUGUGUCCAGUGUGUGUGUGUGUCCAGUGUGUUUCCAGUGCGUUUGUAUGUCCGUUUGAGUGAGUGUGUGUAUGUCAUUCCAGUGUUUGUGUUUGUCCAGUUUGAGUGGGUGGCCAGUGUGUGUGUGUUUCAGUGUGUGUGUGUGUGUGUGUCCAGUGAGUGUGUGUGUGUGUGUGUGUGUCCAGUGAGUGUGUGUGUGUAUGUGUUGUGUGUGUGUGUGUGUGUGUUUCAGUGUGUGUGUGUGUGUGUGUGUGUGUGUGUGUGUGUUCAGUGUGUGUGUGUGUGUGUGUGUGUCCAGUGUGUAUGUGUGUGU